rnacentral:rRNA from 1 species
UUCCGGUUGAUCCCGCCGGACCCGACUGCUAUCAGAAUAGGACUAAGCCAUGCGAGUCAACGUAGCAAUACGUGGCAUACGGCUCAGUAACACGUAGUCAACAUGCCCAGGGGACGUGGAUAACCUCGGGAAACUGAGGAUAAACCACGAUAGGCCAUGAUGUCUGGAAUGACUUAUGGCUCAAAUCUACAUGGCCCCUGGAUUGGACUGCGGCCGAUCAGGCUGUUGGUGAGGUAAUGGCCCACCAAACCUAAAACCGGUACGGGCUCUGAGAGGAGAAGCCCGGAGAUGGGCACUGAGACAAGGGCCCAGGCCCUAUGGGGCGCAGCAGGCGCGAAACCUCUGCAAUAGGCGAAAGCCUGACAGGGUUACUCUGAGUGAUUCCCGCUAAGGGAAUCUUUUGGCAUCUCUAAAAAUGGUGCAGAAUAAGGGGUGGGCAAGUCUGGUGUCAGCCGCCGCGGUAAUACCAGCACCCCGAGUGGUCGGGACGAUUAUUGGGCCUAAAGCAUCCGUAGCCGGUCUUGCAAGUCUUCCGUUAAAUCCAGCUGCUUAACAGAUGGGCUGCGGAGGAUACUACAAGGCUAGGAGGCGGGAGAGGCAAGCGGUACUCAGUGGGUAGGGGUAAAAUCCUCUGAUCCAUUGAAGACCACCAGUGGCGAAGGCGGCUUGCCAGAACGCGCUCGACGGUGAGGGAUGAAAGCUGGGGGAGCAAACCGGAUUAGAUACCCGGGUAGUCCCAGCUGUAAACGAUGCAGACUCGGUGAUGGGCCGGCUUUAUGCCGGCUCASUGCCGCAGGGAAGCCGUUAAGUCUGCCGCCUGGGGAGUACGGUCKCAAGACUGAAACUUWAAGGAAUUGGCGGGGGAGCACCACAAGGGGUGAAGCCUGCGGUUCAAUCUGGAAUUCAACGCCGG